UUAAGGUUCACUGCUUUUGGGGGAGGAAAAAAAAGAUUUUUGUUUCAAAACAAGAAUAAAAAUGAUGGAAAAAAAUGAAUCCAAAUGUCUAAUUUUUACCAUUUAAAAAAAAAUAUAUAUAUGGGGUGGCGGGGAAUUGGCUAAUCUAGUCAACAUUUUCGCCUCAAAAUGGUGCUCUUGAUAAAAGAAAACAAUGAUGUGAAAUGUUUCUUGCAAAAAUGAUGAAAAAAUAUGAAAAUGUCAUCUUUGACCAAAAAUAAAAAAAAUACAAUAAGCAUAUUUUUAAACAGCCAUGAUCUUUGAUUAUUGGAAAAUAAUUUCUUUUCCUAUUUUUUUCUUGAUGGGAAAGGAUAAUAUGGAGAGGGAAAUUUGUUCCAAACACGAGUAAAUAAAAGUAUUCAAUAAAA